rnacentral:rRNA from 1 species
AGCGUUGUUCGGAAUUACUGGGCGUAAAGCGCGCGCAGGCGGUCUUCCAAGUCAGUGGUGAAAGCCCGGAGCUCAACUCCGGAACUGCCAUUGAAACUAGGUAGCUAGAAUCUUGGAGAGGUCAGUGGAAUUCCGAGUGUAG